UACGUAGGGUGCAAGCGUUAAUCGGAAUUACUGGGCGUAAAGCGUGCGCAGGCGGUUCUAUAAGACAGAUGUGAAAGCCCCGGGCUCAACCUGGGAAUGGCCGUUGAAACUGGCGAACUGGAGUGUGGCAGAGGGGGGUGGAAUUCCGCGUGUAGCAGUGAAAUGCGUAGAGAUGCGGAGGAACACCGAUGGCGAAGGCAGCCCCCUGGGCUGACACUGACGCUCAGGCACGAAAGCGUGGGGAGCAAACAGG
rnacentral:rRNA from 1 species